GAUGAACGCUGGCGGCGUGCCUAAUACAUGCAAGUCGAGCGAAGCGGGGACGGGUGAGUAACACGUGGAUAACCUCCUAUAAGACUGGGAUAAUUCCGGGAAACCGGAGCUAAACCGGUUACUUAUAAAUGGAUCCGCGCUGCAUUAGCUAGUUGGUAAGGUAACGGCUUACCAAGCCAACGAUGCAUAGCCGACCUGAGAGGGUGAUCGGCCACACUGGAACGGAGACACGGUCCAGACUCCUACGGGAGGCAGCAGUAGGGAAUCUUGCGCAAUGGGCGAAAGCCUGACGGAGCAACGCCGCGUGAGUGAAGAAGGCCUUCGGAUCGUAAAACUCUGUUAUUAGGGAAGCGUUACCUAAUCAGAAAGCAACGGCUAACUACGUGCCAGCAGCCGCGGUAAUAC
rnacentral:rRNA from 1 species